rnacentral:rRNA from 1 species
AACGAACGCUGGCGGCAUGCCUAACACAUGCAAGUCGAACGAGACCUUCGGGUCUAGUGGCGCACGGGUGCGUAACGCGUGGGAACCUGCCCUUAGGUUCGGAAUAACUCCCCGAAAGGGGUGCUAAUACCGGAUAAUGUCUUCGGACCAAAGAUUUAUCGCGUUUGGAUGGGCCCGCGUUGGAUUAGCUAGUUGGUAGGGUAAAAGCCUACCAAGGCGACGAUACAUAGCUGGUCUGAGAGGAUGAUCAGCCACACUGGGACUGAGACACGGCCCAGACUCCUACGGGAGGCAGCAGUGGGGAAUAUUGGAAAAUGGGCGAAAGCAUGAUCCAGCAAUGCCGCGUGAGUGAUGAAGGCCUUAGGGUUGUAAAGCUCUUUUACCCGGGAUGAUAAUGACAGUACCGGGAGAAUAAGCUCCGGCUAACUCCGUG